AUUGAACGCUAGCGGGAUGCCUUACACAUGCAAGUCGAACGGAGUGGCGAACGGGUGAGUAAUGUAUCGGAACGUGCCCAGUAGCGGGGGAUAACUACGCGAAAGCGUAGCUAAUACCGAAUACGAUGGGAGCGGCCGAUAUCGGAUGAGCGAGUUGGUGGGGUAACGGCUCACCAAGGAGACGAUCCGUAGCUGGUUUGAGAGGACGACCAGCCACACUGUGACUGAGACACGGCCCAGACUCCUACGGUGGGCAGCAGUGGGGAAUUUUGGACAAUUGGGGAAACCCUGAUCCAGCCAUCCCGCGUGUGCGAUGAAGGCCUUCGGGUUUUAAAGCACUUUUGGCAGGAAAGCGGUACCUGCCGAAUAAGCACCGGCUAACUACGUGCCAGCAGCCGCGGUAAUAC
rnacentral:rRNA from 1 species